rnacentral:rRNA from 1 species
GGCUCAGAUUGAACGCUGGCGGCAUGCUUUACACAUGCAAGUCGAACGGCAGCGGGGGCUUCGGCCUGCCGGCGAGUGGCGAACGGGUGAGUAAUGCAUCGGAACGUGCCAUUGAGUGGGGGAUAACGUAGCGAAAGUUACGCUAAUACCGCAUAUUCUGUGAGCAGGAAAGCAGGGGACCGCAAGGCCUUGCGCUCUUUGAGCGGCCGAUGUCAGAUUAGCUAGUUGGUGAGGUAAAGGCUUACCAAGGCGACGAUCUGUAGCGGGUCUGAGAGGAUGAUCCGCCACACUGGAACUGAGACACGGUCCAGACUCCUACGGGAGGCAGCAGUGGGGAAUUUUGGACAAUGGGCGCAAGCCUGAUCCAGCCAUGCCGCGUGAGUGAAGAAGGCCUUCGGGUUGUAAAGCUCUUUCGGCCGGGAAGAAAUCGCAUGGGUUAAUACCCUGUGUGGAUGACGGUACCGGAAUAAGAAGCACCGGCUAACUACGUG